GGGGAACUAAACGUGAUUCUCUUUUGGAUUAAAUAAAAAUAAAGAAACUUUGGUAGGUACAUGACCACGAAUGUAGGAAUGAACCACUAACUAUAGGAGAAAGUACAUAUUUUACAUUUAUAAGGACCGCGAUUAUUGGUCCACGUUAUUUCUACAAAGACCACGAAUAUUGGUCUACGACCACGAACAGUAAAGUGUGUCUUGCUCCAUCGAACGUAAACCCAACACUGACGAUUGCAAUUCAUCACGUGUCAGAAUCCAUUUUCUGCACGUGCAGCGAAUGCCACGUUCUGUUUUCCGCGACGCAUGUGGCAUUUUUAUGAACUGUUCAUGUUACAUGAACCGAAACAAUGUUUGGUUUUUAUUACCUCUCCUCCACACCCGUACUACGGACAAGGUUCUAUUCAUAUUCAUUGGAAUGGAGUUUAUUUUCAGUCCAUCAUUAAGCCAAAGGCCAUGUCAGAGGAGAGAAGCUAGUUGCAUUCAAUGACGAGAACCUUGUCUGCUGCGUUAAUCAUGGACCCAGUAUGAUACAUGAUUUAGGUUUUCAGAAAUCCCCGUGCAGCCUGACUUGCUCGUGGCGGAGUAUAAGAGAUUCCCCUCCAAGGCAGGAUACACAGUAUUCUAGCAAGAUCACGUGGACCAAUCAGGUCUCAUCAUGGAUAACACGGAGGUAUGAUAAUGGCUUGUACAUUUUUUCAACAUCCUUAAGAGGUUGUACAUAAUAUUGAUAUUCUCAUAUCAGAAAUAAACGAUAUAUGUAUUCUAUAACUAGAAUAAUAAACCACGAGGGGCGCAGAAGCAAAUGGUUUAUUCUUCUUGCAGUGUUUUAUUGUACGAUAAACAAGAACCACGAGUCGUGUAUUUCUUAAAUAUUGAACAUUAAGUAAAAAAUAAUGGGUUAUGUUAUCACGGACAUUAAUCAGACGAACAAAAGAACCUUCCGUUAUAAAAAAUGUUCAGUAGUGUUUUAACCUUGAGGGAGGUUGUACGUUAGUGGAUGCUGGAACUCAGUUAUUAUUGCACUAUUGCAUGGCGAUGUGAGAAUGUCCCACGUGCAGAGAAUUCACAUAGCCAAUCAGGCUCAAUCAGGUUAGGUCAACAGUGCACCACCCAACAUCUGACGAACACAUUCACGUGAAUCACGAUUGUAAGCAAGCAUUUGCUGAUCAUCCUUUUUCAGGAAUAGAGUACGUUGACGGUGGAGAUAGUCGAUUUCACCUUUCGUACGGACAUCGUGCUUUUCUGUAUUCGGGAUGGAUCGUUAUAUCGCUUUAUAA